rnacentral:lncRNA from 1 species
CCAAACGCCAUCAGUCUCACACACUCCUGUCAGGAAAAUGAGUUCCAAAACAAUCAAAAUCAUGACCUCAUAGUGGCAUUUGGGCUGGUUCUUGCCAGCCCAAUGCUGGUGAGACAAUCCUUUUGUUAAGAGGUCAGGCAGCGCUCUGCAGUCCCAAGGUGUGUCACAAAGCUUGGACAGGCAGGAUUCAGCUGGGGGAGAAGUGGAUCAGGCCCCUGCAGCCUUGGCACAAAGUCCAACUCUCGUGUUUUGAGAGAGAUUUUCUCCAAGAUUCAGGGAAGGCAGCUGGAUGCCCAAGCAGGAGAAAUUUGGGCAGCAAGUCAAUUAAAGAAAGUAUAAAGGUCCCUGUAUUGGUAGAGCUCCAGCUUGUGCACUCAUGUGGACACAUCUGUUUGCCACAGUCCUGCAGCAUUCCACAUCUGGGGCUAAAAGCUGGACCUGUUGUGAAGAUCAGAGCUCUGGGCAUCUCCAGGAGCACCUACAGGCCAGAUGGACCUAAUUCCCUGGCUGGAAUCCAGAAUGGAGGGGUGAAUCCUCUGAACCCCUGGCAAGAGUCCCACUGCUUCUAGUAAGGUCACACUCUGCUCUUUGCUCCAGCAGAGGUUUUGGGAGAUCCUUCCAUGCAGGAUUUUUUUUUUCUGAAUGAAACUAAGUUGAGAGAGUACUGACUUGUUGAAAUUAAAAUAAAGACAUCAGCAAUGAAAAAAGUUAAAAAAAU